GCUCUGCCCCCCUCCUCCCUGCCCUGCCAGGCCCUCAGUCCUGGUCACCACCACCAGGCCCUUGCACAACUGCCUCAGCCCCUUCCCCGGGAAACCGCACCACCGUGCUCCUGAACCCACCAGGGCUCCUUGCCCUGGGGAUCAAGUGUGAAGUCCGAGUGUGUUUGAGUGUGUUCCGGGCCCCACCGCCUGCCCCUUCCUCCCAUCCCCCCACCCCAGGGCCGGCUCUUCCUCAAGCCUGCGCUGCUGCCAGCAGCCUCAGGGCCUCUGCAUUUGCUCUGCCCUCUGCCUUCAUCCCUCCUUGGCCAGUUUGCAGUCACUCGUGCGUGUGAGUGACCGGGCUUUCCCACCGUUGUGCCCUCACCCCGCGUGGCAGUCUGCAGAGUGCUCAGCGGAUGUUUGCCGGAAGAAUGAGCCUUUCUACCUGGACCUCCUGUGAAUAGCGUGGGGACCCGUGGGUGCCCCUGAGCUCCGGAGGCGCCUCACCUGCUGCGAGGCGACUUGUCAGAACACACGCUAGAGUCACGGAGCGCAGGGUCCCUAUUUCCAUCUGCCAGGUGGGAUACGGCGGGUCCCACGUGGAAGCAAGACAGGGCAGGAAUGGGACUAGGAGUGGGGUGUCCUAGCCUCCAGGACAGGCCUGUCCCGCACCAGCCAGGGGUGAGCACGCUGUGGAGUCCGGCGGGCCCCGGGGGGUGGGGGGGCACCCUCACUCCCAUCGGGCUGGGAACACCAGUGCUCAGCUCGUUUUAAACGCAGGCCCUUUGCUGCUCACUGUGCUCACGGUCCCAUUUCACAGAUGAGCAAAUCGAGGCUGGGAGAUGACAUUGUCCCCAGGGAGGGCCGUGAGCGGAGGGCCCCGGGUGUGUAACCUUGUACUCUCCCACCCCCGGUCCUCCCUGCCCGCCGCAUCCUCCCAGCUGCUUGGAUGGCAGCUUGGCGUCCGCUCAGCCACCUGUGACUCAAGCAGGCUCUGUUCCCAGACUGUCGCGUUGGCUGGAGGCCCAGAAACUGCAUCUCGGGAGGCCGCAGGCCAGGGCCCCCCGCAGGACGGGGGGUGGGGUGGCUCCCUUCCUGGCCACAGAGAGGUCCAGAAGGAGGAUGUGGGCAGCCCUCCCGCGCGGCUCCCCACCCCCAGGAGCAGCCUGGGCCGCACAGACGAGUCAUCGUGACGGGCCUGCCAUGCGGCCUCGGGUGGUCACUUCCCUUCCCCGGGCUUCUGGGUGUCCCUUGUGACACCUGCCCCUCCCGACACCCACUUCCCAGGACCCCCGGAGGAGAGCGUUACUGAGCACCUAUGGUGUGCCAGGCCGCGUGCUGGAGGGGGGAGACGCUCCGGGAAAUGAGGGGGUUCACCGCGGCUGGCGGGGGAAGCAGGUUCAUGAAAUAAUCAUGAAGCGGGUGGAAAUCUCAGCAGAGACACCCAGUGCCCAACCCGGGCGGGUGGGGGGCAGGGAUGCUUCUGCGAGGAGGGGCGCUGGGGGCCAGCCCUGCAGGCAGACAGGUAGACGGGAACCACGGCCUGGGGUUUGGGGUUCGAAUGGGGAUCCUGCCCCCGCCAGGCUGCGGGGCGGGCAGGGAGGCCUCGGCGGCGGCUCAGGACCCGCACGCGGCUGUUCCCUCGGCAGCGCCCUUAGACCCGUCCUCCCCGCCGCCCCUGGCUCCCGUCUCCGCCCCUUGCCUGCUCCGGGUGCUCUCCCCACUUAGAUACUCUGUAAUUUACUGAUUUAUCCUCUUUAUCAUGGACGCUUCCUCCUUUGCUGCCGUGGCUCUGGGAACAGCGGGCGUCCAGUAGAUACUGGUUGAAGGGCUGAGUGACCCAAGUGUUGUUCACGGCCGUGGACUGGCUCCCAGAGCAUGAUGCGCAGGAUUGGUGGUCGUGGCCGGGGAGGGAGGCUGUGGGGCGGGCGGCCUGGGAGCUGCAGGUGUGGCACCGGACGAACGGCUUCCCCUCUGCAGCUGGAGUGGAGUCAUCGGUUGCCGAGAGGCCAGCGCGCAGGGACGGAGGCCUUGGGCCCCAGGUUGUCAGAGGACGAACGGGGAGGUCGUACCUGCGAGACCGACUGCUCCACGCUCAACGGCCAGGAGCGAUUAUCGGGUAUGGUUUACGGGGUCAGCAUUUCCGCACGCUGUGCGCCGUGCACCUGGGAUGCCGGGUCCCCAGGCGCAGCUCCGUGAUCGGGCUGGGGAGACAAAGGGGUCCCCGGUCCGGGCUGCAAGGCGAGUGUCACGGGAGGGUGGUCUGGAGUUGAGUCACGCGGCUCCGUGUGGCUGCCUCGGUGUCUACUCUGAUUGGCUUGGUGGUCCCCGGGGGGGGGAGGGUUAGCCUGGCAUCGGCCCCUCAGACAGGUGCACGCCCCGGGGGCGCAUCUGGGGCACACCAAGUGCCCGCCCCUGCCAUGACUCCCACGGCCCCCCUGGGAUCAACAGGUUCCCCACCGCGGGGGGGUUUCCCCAGGGGCCCCCUAACUAGGACCCUGACGAGUCCACCAAAACCCCUGCUGUCCCUCAGCUGAAGCCCAGGGACCCCAAAACCCAUGGACCCUAAUAAAGGCACGUGCCCGGUCCUGCCGCUCUCACUGCCGGCACCCUGUCCGGCUCCCCCGGGCCCGGGGGCUCCUGAACUUCUCCGGUCCUUCCAUGGAAACAGGCUCGCCAUCCAGUGCCCCGGGGCUCUGCUGAAGAAUUGUCGAUUUAGGGGCACCUGGGUGGCCCAGCUGUUGAGCGUCUGCCUUGGGCUCAGGGUGUGACCCUGGGGUCCUGGGAUCGAGUCCUGCAUCGGGCUCCCUGCGGGGAGCCUGCUUCUCCCUCUGCCCGU